rnacentral:rRNA from 1 species
GGGGCAGGGCGGCAGCCUACCAUGCAAGUCGAACGGUAGCACAGAGAGCUUGCUCUCGGGUGACGAGUGGCGGACGGGUGAGUAAUGUCUGGGAAACUGCCUGAUGGAGGGGGAUAACUACUGGAAACGGUAGCUAAUACCGCAUAACGUCGCAAGACCAAAGAGGGGGACCUUCGGGCCUCUUGCCAUCAGAUGUGCCCAGAUGGGAUUAGCUAGUAGGUGGGGUAACGGCUCACCUAGGCGACGAUCCCUAGCUGGUCUGAGAGGAUGACCAGCCACACUGGAACUGAGACACGGUCCAGACUCCUACGGGAGGCAGCAGUGGGGAAUAUUGCACAAUGGGCGCAAGCCUGAUGCAGCCAUGCCGCGUGUAUGAAGAAGGCCUUCGGGUUGUAAAGU